GAUGAACGCUAGCGGCAGGCUUAACACAUGCAAGUCGAGGGGUAUAGUUCUUCGGAACUAGAGACCGGCGCACGGGUGCGUAACGCGUAUGCAAUCUACCUUUUACAGAGGGAUAGCCCAGAGAAAUUUGGAUUAAUACCUCAUAGUAUAUAGCCCUGGCAUCAGGAUUAUAUUAAAGUCACGACGGUAAAAGAUGAGCA
rnacentral:rRNA from 1 species